rnacentral:rRNA from 1 species
UUGAACGCUGGCGGCAGGCCUAACACAUGCAAGUCGAGCGCGAAAGGUUUUCGGACUGAGUAAAGCGGCGGACGGGUGAGUAACGCGUGGGAAUCUGCCCAGUAGUGGGGGACAACAGUCGGAAACGACUGCUAAUACCGCAUACGCCCUACGGGGGAAAGGGGGGGAUCUUCGGACCUCUCGCUAUUGGAUGAGCCCGCGUCGGAUUAGCUAGUUGGUAGGGUAAAGGCCUACCAAGGCUACGAUCCGUAACUGGUCUGAGAGGAUGAUCAGUCACACUGGAACUGAGACACGGUCCAGACUCCUACGGGAGGCAGCAGUGGGGAAUAUUGGACAAUGGGGGCAACCCUGAUCCAGCCAUGCCGCGUGUGUGAAGAAGGCCUUAGGGUCGUAAAGCACUUUCAGUGGGGAGAAAGGUUUGUCACCUAAUACGUGAUGAAAUUGAUGUUACCCACAUAAGAAGCACCGGCUAACUCCGUGCCAGCCGCCGCCGUAA